CAAUAGCGUAUAUUAAAGUUGUUGCAGUUAAAAAGCUCGUAGUUGGACCUUGGACCUGGACAGGCGGUCCGCCUCACGGCGUGUACUGUCUUGCUGGGUCUUUCCUCUUGGUGAUCUGUUGUUUUGGCAGCAGGGAACCAGGACUUUUACUUUGAAAAAAUUAGAGUGUUCAAAGCAGGCUCGACGCCGGAAUAUAUUAGCAUGGAAUAAUAAAAUAGGACGUGCGGUUCUAUUUUGUUGGUUUUUGGAAUCGCCGUAAUGAUUAAUAGGGACAGUCGGGGGCAUUAGUACUCACAUGCUAGAGGUGAAAUUCUUGGAUUUUGUGAAGACUAACUUCUGCGAAAGCAUUUGCCAAGGAUGUUUUCAUUAA
rnacentral:rRNA from 1 species